GACGAACCGUGCGAACGUUAUUCGGAUUCACUGGGCUUAAAGCGCGUGUAGGCGGCCCGGCACGUCCGUCGCUGAAAGCCCCCGGCUCAACCGGGGAACGGGCGCGGAUACGACCGGGCUGGAGGCCGGUAGGGGGCGUCGGAACUUCCGGUGGAGCGGUGAAAUGCGUUGAGAUCGGAAGGAACGCCCGUGGCGAAAGCGGACGCCUGGACCGGACCUGACGCUGAGACGCGAAAGCCAGGGGAGCGAACGGG
rnacentral:rRNA from 1 species